rnacentral:lncRNA from 1 species
AUGGCAAGAGUAACAGCGUUUAUCGACCUUGCUUUCCCUUCUGCUAAGCCAAUCGCGAUUACCCAGUGGGGUGCUCCCUUUCCCCGACAGACUGCGGCUGCUCCCAGGGCGUUUAUCAGCAGCCACAGGCGGCUCUAUGAAGCGCAGCGUGUCCUCGGACUGCAGCUCACAGCGUGUCCCGGGGCUGCGGGACCCACAUCUCCCACCAUGCCUGGGCAGGUAAUUCAGCCGCUGCUACCCAGGAUGAACUUCCGCAUUUCCCAUAAAGACUUGCACACUGGUGCAUAUUAAAAUCGUAUUACCACCUGGGAGCGAAGACAGCCCUGGACAAUGAGCCACUCUUGAGGAACAUCUGGAGGACCACACUGUGGAGGCAGCAGGAACCUGGGGAGACUGGGUGCGCCAAUGUCAGUCCGGCAAGCUCGUCGCCAUGACCUGGCAGGACUUGAGAGGGAAGACACCACUGGACUUUUGAGCCUAAACAGAGUUUCUGGGUGAUCCCAGUGAGGAUAGAGACUCCAGUCCUGCCGACAGUGGAUGAUGACAGGCCUGUGUGGUCUUCCUCCUACACGUCGACCACAGGGAGCAGUGGCAGCAGCGCGCGCCCUGAGCUCCCACCUCUAGGCUUAGUUCUCUCUAAAAAAGGCUUGUUAAAGGGAGCAGAAGGUCUCCUGGCCCUUUAAUUUACGUCGUAAAUUAAAAUUGUAAACCAAAUUUACAAAUUAUGGUUUGGCCUUUCUGAAGUUUCAGCUCUUACAUUGUAUUAAGCAAACAGUUUUAACAAUCAUAUUAUAUUAAACAAUCAUGUUUUAUUAAAUUUGAUUAACAAACAAUAGCAAUCUAUUACACCUGAUUGAAUAGUUCACAAAACUGUAAUGGCAAAACUCAGGCCAUAGAUCUGUAAGAUGCAUUUCACUCAUUUUUUUUCACUUAAAAUUGUGUUUUUUAGGCUGUCUUGAAGGAAGACAAAAAUAUCUACAAUUCUUGGUUAUUCAUUGGCCUGACAGCUGUUGGUUUAGAGCAAUCAGACCAGGCCAAGGGAGAAUAUAAGAAGGCUAUUGAUCUUGAACCAAACCAAUUACUGUCAGUUAUAGUCCAGAUCCACUUUUUCUCUCCCUGAAAAGUGUAAAUAUGGAGUUGAAUACAGGAACAAAGCAGAGUUGAGACUUGAAUCAUGUUUUCUUGAGGCCCUUAUUUCUGUGGUAGCUUUGGGAAAUCUGAGGCUUGUAUUAUUUUUGUGUCCAAUGUAAUACCACAAUGAGGUUUAGUUUCAGUGUAUUUAAGUUUGUAU